rnacentral:rRNA from 1 species
GACGAACGCUGGCGGCGUGCUUAACACAUGCAAGUCGAACGGAAAGGCCCUGCUUUUGUGGGGUGCUCGAGUGGCGAACGGGUGAGUAACACGUGAGUAACCUGCCCUUGACUUUGGGAUAACUUCAGGAAACUGGGGCUAAUACCGGAUAGGAGCUCCUGCUGCAUGGUGGGGGUUGGAAAGUUUCGGCGGUUGGGGAUAGUCUCGCGGCUUAUCAGCUUGUUGGUGGGGUAGUGGCUUACCAAGGCUUUGACGGGUAGCCGGCCUGAGAGGGUGACCGGCGACAUUGGGACUGAGAUACGGCCCAGACUCCUACGGGAGGCAGCAGUGGGGAAUAUUGCACAAUGGGCGGAAGCCUGAUGCAGCAACGCCGCGUGCGGGAUGACGGCCUUCGGGUUGUAAACCGCUUUCGCCUGUGACGAAGCGUGAGUGACGGUAAUGGGUAAAGAAGCACCGGCUAACUACGUG